AGGGCGACGCCGCCCAGCUUGCGGCCACUCACGUCUCUGCACUGCUGGGUGUCCGCGGCCAGGACGCUGGCGACCGUCUUGGUGACGGCGACUUUGGCAGGCUUGGAGCAGGCGCCGAGCCGAAAUUUAUAAAGUGCUUGACGCUUCUGGGCCAGUCAUUGAGCUAAGCACUGGGCAGGACACAGCCAACAGAGUUGGAGGGAAUCAUUGCUGUGAGAAGCUGACAGUGGUGGAUGACAAGCUUGAAUUUCCAGAGGAAAUAG
rnacentral:lncRNA from 10 species